GGAUGUAGCCAAGUGGAUCAAGGCAGUGGAUUGUGAAU
rnacentral:tRNA from 3 species